UCCAACCCGAAGCCAGCCGCACCAAUGUGCCGGAGGAAACACCGUGCACCUGGCGACCUGGCUAGCGUGCACUGCGCCCGGCUCGCCACAGGAGUCGCUAGUGCGCGAUGAGACAAGGAUAUCCCUACCGGCCAAACCCUCCCUAACCCGGACUACGCUAGGCCAAUUGUGUGUCGCCCCACGGACCACCCGGUCGCGGCCGGCUGCGACAGAGCCUGGGCGUGAACCCUGAGUCUCUAAGCCACCCGGGAGGUCCUCUGAUCACAAUAUUGACAUCAGCAAACCGCUCGCCACACCACACCAUACAUGUGGUCUGCGGUUGGGAGGCUGGUUGGACGUUCUGCUAAAUUCUUUGAAACAACAGUGGCGGAUUAUGGUAGAGAAAUUAACAUUCCAUUCUCUGGCAACAGCUCUGGUGGACAUUCCUGAAGUCACCUUGCCACUUGCAUUCUCCUUCAACUUGAGACAUCUGUGGCAUAAUGUUGUGUGACACAACUGCACAUUUGAGUGGCUUUUAUUGGCCCCAGCACAAGGUGCACCUGUGUAAUGAUCAUGCUGCCUCAACAUCUCCUUGAUAUGUUACACCUGUGAGGUGGAUGGAUUAUCUUCGUGAAGGAAAAAUGCUCACCAAGAGGGAUGUAAACAAAUUUGUGCACAACAUUUGAGAGAAAUAAGCUUUUUGUGCACAUGGAACAUUUCUGUGAUCUUUUAUUUCAGCUCAUGAAACAUGGGACCAACACUUUACAUGUUGCGUUUUAUAUUUUUGUUCAGUAUACUGUAGAUGCAAGCGGCAGAGCCUGGUCCCCACACAAGGACCACUAUCCACACACCUGGAGGAUACCAGCUGCUUAUUGCCUCCCAACCGCAGACCACGUGUAACACGCCAACCCAGGACCUCCACAUCUGGCUUCUUCACCUGCGGGAUCGUCUGAGGAUUUAUUUCUGUCUGUACUAAAGCCCUUUUGUGGGAAAAACACAUUUUGAUUGGGUGAACCUGACUACCAAGUGGGUGGGCCUAUGCCCAUGGCUGCACCCUCGCACAGUCAUAUGAAAUCCAUAGAUUUAGGGCCUUAUGAAUUUAUUUAAAUUGACUGCUUUCCUUAUAUGUACUGUAACUCAGUAAAAUCUUUUGAAAUUG